rnacentral:rRNA from 1 species
CUACGUGCCAGCAGCCGCGGUAAUACGGAAGGUCCAGGCGUUAUCCGGAUUUAUUGGGUUUAAAGGGAGCGUAGGCCGUGGAUUAAGCGUGUUGUGAAAUGUAGACGCUCAACGUCUGAAUUGCAGCGCGAACUGGUUCACUUGAGUAUGCACAACGUAGGCGGAAUUCGUCGUGUAGCGGUGAAAUGCUUAGAUAUGACGAAGAACUCCGAUUGCGAAGGCAGCUUACGGGAGCACAACUGACGCUGAAGCUCGAAGGUGCGGGUAUCAAACAGGAUUAGAUACCCUGGUAGUCCGCACAGUAAACGAUGGAUGCCCGUUGUUAGUUCACUUUAGAAUUAGCGACCAAGCGAAAGCAUUAAGCAUCCCACCUGGGGAGUACGCCGGCAACGGUGAAACUCAAAGGAAUUGACGGGGGCCCGCACAAGCGGAGGAACAUGUGGUUUAAUUCGAUGAUACGCGAGGAACCUUACCCGGGCUUGAAUUGCAGACGAACGAUUCAGAGA